AUUGAACGCUGGCGGCAUGCCUUACACAUGCAAGUCGAACGGUAGAAGGAGCAAUCCUUCGAGAGUGGCGAACGGGUGAGUAAUAUAUCGGAACGUGCCCAGUCGUGGGGGAUAACGUAGAGAAAUUUACGCUAAUACCGCAUACGAUCUAAGGAUGAAAGCGGGGGACUUCGCAAGAGGCCUCGCGCGAUUGGAGCGGCUGAUAUCAGAUUAGGUUGUUGGUGAGGUAAAAGCUCACCAAGCCGACGAUCUGUAGCUGGUUUGAGAGAACGACCAGCCACACUGGGACUGAGACACGGCCCAGACUCCUACGGGAGGCAGCAGUGGGGAAUUUUGGACAAUGGGCGAAAGCCUGAUCCAGCAAUGCCGCGUGCAGGAAGAAGGCCUUCGGGUUGUAAACUGCUUUUGUACGGAACGAAAAGGUUCGCUUUAAUACAGUGGGCCCAUGACGGUA
rnacentral:rRNA from 1 species